UUGAUAGGUGUUCAGUGAGGGAAGUGAUGACGUCACCAAUGAAGGAGCGACAACCAGGAGCCGCUAGAUUAUGAUCGCGUACGCCGGCGCUCUGUCCUCGGAUCCAUGGAGCCCAAAUGACAUGAUGUGGGUAUCGGGCUCUGGCAGACGCAAGCACAGUGACACAGUACACAGAAGCGGCACGUAAACCUCGUCUGUAAACAUAGCUAGGGGUAUGCGUGGCACGGUGAAGCAG